GCGCCCGUAGCUCAGUGGAUAGAGCGCUGCCCUCCGGAGGCAGAAGUCGCAGGUUCGAAUCCUGCCGGGCGCG
rnacentral:tRNA from 4 species